UACGUAGGGGGCAAGCGUUGUCCGGAUUUAUUGGGCGUAAAGAGCGUGUAGGCGGCUAGGUAGGUCCGUUGUGAAAACUCGAGGCUCAACCUCGAGACGUCGAUGGAAACCAUCUAGCUAGAGUCCGGAAGAGGAGAGUGGAAUUCCUGGUGUAGCGGUGAAAUGCGUAGAUAUCCGGAAGAACACCAAAGGCGAAGGCAGCAUCCUGGGAAGUACCUGACGCUCAGAUGCGAAAGCCAGGGGAGCGAAACGGG
rnacentral:rRNA from 1 species